ensembl:lncRNA
AGAUCACUACCUGAUCCUGAUCAAACCGCUAAAAUGGAGGAGAAGAUUAUUAUUGCAGUCUCAUCAUACCCGGUGAUCUUCAACACCACCUUGGCAAGUUAUAAGGACCGGACGGUCAAGACCAAGGCUUGGCUGAAGGUGAGCGAGGAGGUCGGGCUAACUGAGGAGGAAUGCCGACGACGGUGGAAGGUCCUGAGGGACACGUACCUCAGGGUGAGACGCAGGGAGGAGGCAGGAAAGAGGAGUGGGUCAGCAGCAGGCCCGUUGAAGACUUGGAAGUACUCUGCAAUCCUGUCUUUCCUCGGCCCAUUUGUUACUCCCGAGGGAGACCAGUAGCAAUAUGGUGCUGGGGGUCGAGGUAGACGGGAUUGCAGAGUACCCAGUCGAGGACCAGGGUUCAGAGGCAGCAGCAGGGACAGAGAGUGACCUAGGAGAUCUAAGCUGUGAGGAGCCGGAGGCUGCUGCUGCCUCUGAACUCAUUCCACCACCACCACCACCAACUGCUGCUGUCACCACUCCUCCUAUUGCCCCAGUGAGGUCACAAUUCAGAAAAAGGGAGACGGAGAUCGAGGCCUUACUCCUUGAGGUGCUGAGGAAGCAGGCCGCACCUGUGCCUCCACCUGAGCCUCUCAUCCUCUCAGAGGAUGAGCACUUUUUAAAAACAAUACUUCCUUCCCUGCAGCGAUUCACCACCCAAUGCAAAGGAACAAAUUAAAUUCCAAAUGUAUAAAUUAUUGCACGAUGCAAACUGCGUUCAUAAUCCAGUAGAGUUUAAUUUGAUCAAUCAAUUUGGACCAGUCGAUGACUAGGUUCUGGGGUGACAAUCGUUGCAGGGAAUGAUCCAUGCCCAUUUUUUUUUUUUUUUGUUUACACACACACACACACACACACACACACACACACACACACACACACACACACACACACAC